rnacentral:rRNA from 1 species
GGGUGCAAGCGUUAUCCGGAUUCCCUGGGUUUAACGGGAGCGUAGGUGGGCUGGUAAGUCAGUGGUGAAAUCUCCGGGCUUAACUCGGAAACUGCCGUUGAUACUAUCAGUCUUGAAUAUUGUGGAGGUAAGCGGAAUAUGUCAUGUAGCGGUGAAAUGCUUAGAUAUGACAUAGAACACCGAGAGCGAAGGCAGCUUGCUACACAAUUAUUGACACUGAGGCUCGAAAGCGUGGGGAUCAAACAGG